rnacentral:rRNA from 1 species
GACGAACGCUGGCGGCGUGCUUAACACAUGCAAGUCGAACGGAAAGGCCCUGCUUUUGUGGGGUGCUCGAGUGGCGAACGGGUGAGUAACACGUGAGUAACCUGCCCUUGACUUUGGGAUAACUUCAGGAAACUGGGGCUAAUACCGGAUAGGAGCUCCUGCUGCAUGGUGGGAGUUGGAAAGUUUCGGCGGUUGGGGAUGGACUCGCGGCUUAUCAGCUUGUUGGUGGGGUAGUGGCUUACCAAGGCUUUGACGGGUAGCCGGCCUGAGAGGGUGACCGGCCACAUUGGGACUGAGAUACGGCCCAGACUCCUACGGGAGGCAGCAGUGGGGAAUAUUGCACAAUGGGCGGAAGCCUGAUGCAGCAACGCCGCGUGCGGGAUGACGGCCUUCGGGUUGUAAACCGCUUUCGCCUGUGACGAAGCGUGAGUGACGGUAAUGGGUAAAGAAGCACCGGCUAACUACGUGCCAGCAGCCGCGGUGAUACGUAGGGUGCGAGCGUUGUCCGGAUUUAUUGGGCGUAAAGGGCUCGUAGGUGGUUGAUCGCGUCGGAAGUGUAAUCUUGGGGCUUAACCCUGAGCGUGCUUUCGAUACGGGUUGACUUGAGGAAGGUAGGGGAGAAUGGAAUUCCUGGUGGAGCGGUGGAAUGCGCAGAUAUCAGGAGGAACACCAGUGGCGAAGGCGGUUCUCUGGGCCUUUCCUGACGCUGAGGAGCGAAAGCGUGGGGAGCGAACAGGCUUAGAUACCCUGGUAGUCCACGCUGUAAACGGUGGGUACUAGGUGUGGGGUCCAUUCCACGGGUUCCGUGCCGUAGCUAACGCUUUAAGUACCCCGCCUGGGGAGUACGGCCGCAAGGCUAAAACUCAAAGGAAUUGACGGGGCCCCGCACAAGCGGCGGAGCAUGCGGAUUAAUUCGAUGCAACGCGUAGAACCUUACCUGGGUUUGACAUGGAUCGGGAGUGCUCAGAGAUGGGUGUGCCUCUUUUGGGGUCGGUUCACAGGUGGUGCAUGGCUGUCGUCAGCUCGUGUCGUGAGAUGUUGGGUUAAGUCCCGCAACGAGCGCAACCCUUGUUCACUGUUGCCAGCACGUUAUGGUGGGGACUCAGUGGAGACCGCCGGGGUCAACUCGGAGGAAGGUGGGGAUGACGUCAAGUCAUCAUGCCCCUUAUGUCCAGGGCUUCACGCAUGCUACAAUGGCUGGUACAGAGAGUGGCGAGCCUGUGAGGGUGAGCGAAUCUCGGAAAGCCGGUCUCAGUUCGGAUUGGGGUCUGCAACUCGACCUCAUGAAGUCGGAGUCGCUAGUAAUCGCAGAUCAGCAACGCUGCGGUGAAUACGUUCCCGGG